rnacentral:rRNA from 1 species
UACGUAGGGUGCAAGCGUUGUCCGGAAUUAUUGGGCGUAAAGAGCUCGUAGGCGGUCUGUCACGUCGGCUGUGAAAACCCGAGGCUCAACCUCGGGCCUGCAGUCGAUACGGGCAAACUAGAGUACUGCAGGGGAGACUGGAAUUCCUGGUGUAGCGGUGAAAUGCGCAGAUUCAGGAGGAACACCGGUGGCGAAGGCGGGUCUCUGGGCAGUAACUGACGCUGAGGAGCGAAAGCGUGGGGAGCGAACAGG